UACAGAAGGGGCAAGCGUUGUUCGGAAUUACUGGGCGUAAAGGGCGCGUAGGCGGCCUCUUAAGUCGAACGUGAAAUCCCCGGGCUCAACCCGGGAACUGCGUCCGAUACUGGGAGGCUUGAAUCCGGGAGAGGGAUGUGGAAUUCCAGGUGUAGCGGUGAAAUGCGUAGAUAUCUGGAGGAACACCGGUGGCGAAGGCGGCCAACUGGACCACAACUGACGCUGAGGCGCGAAAGCGUGGGGAGCAAACAGG
rnacentral:rRNA from 1 species